rnacentral:rRNA from 1 species
AUGUCUCUGGGUGUGUUGAGCUGGAAUGUGAGGGGAUUAAAUAACCCCGCGAGGCGUUCGUCUAUUAUACUUUUUAUGCAAUCCUGUAAUGCUGCUCUAGUUUGUCUGCAAGAAUCUAAGCUUGACAGUGUUGAUGCGUCGGUGGUUUGUAAUACUCUUGGGCCAGGGUUCGGUGGUUUUGAGGCUCUGCCGGCGGUGGGCACCCCUGGGGGUAUUUUGAUGGCUUGGAAGCCU